rnacentral:rRNA from 1 species
GCUUGUCUCAAAGAUUAAGCCAUGCAUGUCUAAGUGUAAAUACGUCUACACUGUGAAACUGCGAAUGGCUCAUUAAAUCAGUUAUCGUUUAUUUGAUGAUCUCUCGUUACAUGGAUAACCGUAGUAAUUCUAGAGCUAAUACAUGCAUCAAACCCCGACUUCUGGAAGGGGUGUAUUUAUUAGAUGGAAACCAAUCGAGGGAAACCUCGGGAUAUGGUGAUUCAUAAUAACUUUCGGAUCGAUUUAUCGAUGCAUCAUUCAAGUUUCUGCCCUAUCAGCUUUGGAUGGUAGGGUAUUGGCCUACCAUGGCUUUAACGGGUAACGGAGAAUUAGGGUUCGAUUCCGGAGAGGGAGCCUGAGAAAUGGCUACCACAUCCAAGGAAGGCAGCAGG